UCUGCCAUCCCUCUCGGCACCCACCAGCAUCUUUCCAAUAUUCCCGGUGGGCGGGGCCGAGCCGCAGCGGCCGCCUCUGGCCCCCCCUCCCCGGGCAGCCAGUGCCAGAUGAGAGCAGGAGACAAAAGUAGCAUUUUCCUCGUCCUCCUGGGCCGGCGGCAGGGCCUUUCCCAAGCGCCACUUGCUCCUGGCAGUCCUGCCCUCCCUACCUGGUGCCGGAGGGUCCGGGGCUCAGGCCGGGACCCAGGGACCCAGGGGUGAUGGGUGGCCAGAAUCCAGGAGGCCUGAGGGCCCAGUGGCCGGGGCUGACACCUGGGGACACCCACCCUCCUCCCCCUGCCAGGGUGACCGGCCAGUGCAGAGGACAGCACCUCCACUUCCUGGUUUUUGCCAAGCGUCUUCCUCCGGCACCUUGGAUACAGCUGUCACAGAGCGGAGCCCACAUCAGUGGGCACUGGGACCCCACACCCAGGUCUCACCUGCUGCUGGCAACUUCCCCAGGAACAGGGAUGCUGCAGCCCAGACUACAUGCCCAGGUCAGUACAAUGCUCGUAGUGCGGCUGGAAAUUGGGGCUGUCACCCCGUCCUGGCCACCGCCUGGAGCCAGACACCUGUGGGUGAUGUCUACGUCAUCUCACAGGCCUGGGGACUCCCAUGCGCCCUGACCCAUCUGGGCUAGUGCUGACCGCUGCCCCUGACGCCCACAGCCUCUCUGCAGUGGCGGGACCAGGCUUUCUGGGAAAUCAGGGGCCAAGGAUCUGCCAGGGACGAGGCCUAGGAGCCUUUCCAGGUUGGCUACCAUGAGGUUCUGGAACAGUGGCCUGGCCUGUUUGCCUUCCCUGUGGUGCCACCUAGGACUCAGUGCAUCAGCCCUGUGUCCCAAGGGUCCUGGGGCCUGGGCUGCCUGGUCCUCUGCUCCGGGCUGUGCUGUGUCUCAGCCUCACAUGGACCCAAGCAUGCUCCCACGGUCCCCAUGUCCUGUGGGCACAGUGGCAAGUAAAACCAUGACCCAGGUGGGUCCUUCACAUGGACUCUAGUGCUCCCUGGGUCUUUGACCUCCAAGUUCUGUCGUGCAGGGAGUCACAAGGGCAAAGUUCCUAGACCAGGGCCGAGUCCCAGAGGGUUGCGGCACAUGUGCCGGGCUGGUUUGGUUGUGUCUUCCAGGGCUGAGGAUUGAACCCCAGGAGCUCACGCACGCUAGGCAAACACUCUACCACUAAGCCAUGUCCCCAGCCCUUUUUAAAAAUUUUAUUUUGAGUUGGGGUCUGAGUGGCCCAGGAUAGCCUUAAAUUAGCAGUCAUCCUGCCUCAGCCUCCAAAGGAGCCGGGGUCACAGGUGUGCAGGGUGCGGUUUUUAAUUGACUUGAACUUGCUCUCCUUGAAGUCAGUUCAGAGAGGGACCCAGGACAGGGGAGGCCCAGUCAUGGUAACCCUGCUGGCCCUGUCCCCUACCACUUCCACCUGUUGUCAUGGACUCCCUGGCGGGCAGCGCCUGUCCAUUUUUGGUGCCUGUGGUAGGCGUACAACCCACACUGAGCCAUGGCCACAAUGCCUGUCUGAGGGGAGUCACCUGUCCCUGGGAGGACAGGGAGACGGGGGGUGCACGGGAAGUCUAGGCUGGGAUGUGGGUGGGGGCUGGAGCCCCCCCCUCAGCUUGGACAGGGUCGCGGGCGGGGGGACCCUCGAUGGUGGGUGAGCUACUGACCUUCUCACUUGCAGGUGAAGGAGUGAGGGCAGAUGUCCAGGUGGCCUCGCGCAGGCUGGGAGGGACAGGUCUGCUCUAAUACCAGGUGACCAGUUUGUCCUGUUUGCCCUUUAAAAUACUUUGUGCUUGGUCUUUCUAUCCCAGGAAAAUGUGAACAAAAGCCAGCAUCAGAGGGCCCCGAGCCACAAAAAUGCCUGCCAGACCCAGAGGGCCCUGAGGAGAGGUGGGGCCUCCUUGAUGUGGGGCUUCCUGGGGUUCCCUGGGCAGAAGCAUCCAGGCCCCUGGCAGCUGUGUGACCCCAGGCAGCUCAGCACCUCUGGGUCUAUGUUCCCUGACCCCUGGCACUGGGGAAAACUGGCCCUCCCACACCACUCUGUGACUAUGCAAAAGCCACUGGUGUGAUGAGCAUCCACACUGGCCUUCCCUGGGGGACGUGUGCCCUGGCACUGGCUCACAUGUUGGCAGCCAUAUUGGGUGGAUUGGAAUUUGAACCCAAGACCCUGUGACUGUGAGGUAGACCUGCCCCCCCACCAAGGAGAAGUAGAACCUAGGGGAGGCCCUUGGUGUGCCAUCCACUCCUGGGGUUGUCAGGGCAACUGUGGUUGCACAAAUGACAGGCUGGUGGUACCACCUGCCCUCAGUACUGCCCAUGUUGCCGUGGCAACCCCUUGCUGUAAGGAGACUGUGGGCUUCUUCCCAAGUCUACCCUCUUGUUUUCUGACACAGACCCUGUCCCCAGCUGUGAAUCAGCUGGUCCUCAUCCAAUGCCUGAGUCUCUGGGUCUGUGAAUAUCAUCUGCCCCUCUGAAAUCCCUGCAGGGCUCCACUGCUGGCCACCCCCCACCACAGGCCUCAGUUUACCUGUCUACAGAGUGGGAUUGUUUCCCACUGUAUAGGCCAGGAGGGGUGCCAAGGCUGGACAUAUGCCCCCUAGAGCUAUUCUGUUUGUCUCUCCUACAUCCAGGGCAGAGCAGAGGAAGAAGACAUCCCUGCAACUACCUGGAGGUCCUCCUUGGUGGGUUCUGUGGGUUCAUCGAGGGCCCACUGUCUGCCUUGGACUGGAUGUGAGAGCAGCAGUAUUAGUUGGGAGCUGUAGUCUCAUGAACAAGGGUCAGGGAAGGAGUUAUAGGUUUUGGGGGGUGUCACAUAUUUGGGAAGUGGCUGGGACAGAGUAGCUUGACACACAUAGGCAGGACCCAGCGGUGGAGAAGGGUCCUCCCACAUCCCCUUGAUGGCCACCUGGUAGCUUCGCCAGUCUCUGGUACAACCAGUCCUGCUGGCCAUCCUUGGUCCUGUGGGCAGCAUCAGUCCCUGGAGUACAGACCUGCCCUUGGGCCACCAGGCUAAAGGCCACCAACCUAGCAAAAGCGGGUCCACUCUUCCCUAAGGCCAAGGUGAAGAACUUUAAAUCCAGGCCACGCAGUCUGCUGUGGAGGGCUUCAGUGCUCUUGGGCAGGAGGAAGGUUCUAGAAGGCCUGCCUGCCCUGCUCCCUGGCCAGGCCAUCCCAGGGCUUCGUGCAGGGCAGUGCCCCAUUUUUGGAGUGGAUGUCCCUCCUCCUCCUCCUCUCUGCCGGCUUCCCGCUGUUCCCCGCCCUCUGGUUUCAGCCGCCUUUGUCUUCCCGAGCUCCACAAAAUGGCCGCCGCAGUCCUCCGCCAUUUUGUAACUGAAAUGGGCAGUGGCCUUAGGGAAAGUGGGAGGGAGACCUCUGACCACUGCCUGCCCUGGGCGGCCUGGAUGGAGCCCAACACCAGCCCCACCCUGCCUGGUCUUGGCCAUGGCUGCCCCGGCUUUGGCAUAGUCAGCCGCUUGGCAAGGCAGCCUGGGAGACCUGGCCCCUUACCCAGCCCUGCCCAGCCCCUUGCCACCCCUGAGGCUUCCCCACCGAGCAAACACUAAAGCUGUGGUAGUUGGGGGAGGCUUAGCCAUUGAGGGUGCAGUGAGGAUGGUUCUAAAAAGGACCUCUGCCCACAGGAAAGGGGGCAAUACCCUGUGACCCCUGCUUACUCCUUAGCCCUUGGCCCCUGGGAACCUCAGGGUGUCCUGGCUGAGCAGUGCCAGAGCCUCCUGGUGGUUAGUGAGGCCUCUACAGGUUCCACCCAUCCCCAGGAAGCAGGCCAGGGUGCUUCCAGGGAGGAGACUGCCCAGUCCCAGGAGCAGGGCCCAGGCUGCCCAGACAUUGCUGUGCACAAGUUGGAGCCAGCAGCUGCUCAUGGGGAACCCCCCCGGGCCUCCUGCUGAGCUUCCUGCCCUAUUUCUGUCUGGUAUCAACAGGUCCCUCCUCUGACACCCCAGUGCUCUGUGGAUCAGAAGCAGCACGUGCUGGAGGGUGUACGGGAUGCUGGCCAGCCUAGCCUGCUGCUAGGGGGACAGGGCACUCUAGGCCUCCAGGCAGCUUUUCAAGAUCAGGAGAGUGUCUACGUGGAGGACAGUGUGGGUACACCUGAUAAAGGUGCGUCUCGCCAGGUGUGGUGAGAUGUGGCUGGUGGCUAUGCUGUGGGUCAGGUUCUUGCUGUGGAGGAGGCCACUGGUAUACAGCAGGGCCCUGCCCUAGACCUCUGAGUGGCUCAAGACCUUCACAGAUCCUAGACAGAGCAUUCUGUGACCUGGAAGUGAUGUUUGUGGUCCUGGAUCCUCCUGAAGACCCCAGAAAGGACAGGAUGGUAGGAGGUCACCCACUGCCCACCUGCCCAAGCCAGUAUUGUCCUACGUGUCACACCAGGCUGGUGCCUCCUGGGAGGGAGCACAGGAGCCCAGGCUUCCCCAGGCAGGAGACAUCCCCAGAGAAGGGCCAGGCCCCAGCCGUGAAUGACGGGGAGAAGGAGAUGCGAAUCUUUGGAGAUAAAUUGAGCCUUGGAGGCUGCAGGAUUGCCUGGGGGUUAAUCGAGUUGGGAACAGAGAGGCUAUGCGAUUCCACCUUCCUCUCUGGGCACCGAAUGAAUCCUUGGACCUGACCCUGGGGUAUGAUUCCCAACUUUCCCGCUUCCAUGAACAGCACCCACUGAGCCUGCCAGCAGCUGGUUGCUGUGUGGAGACAGCAAGAGUCUGGGCUGUGCCCCCAAACCUGCUGCCUGGGCCCCUCCUCAGCUCAGAAGCUGCCAAAUUCACUAGGCCUUCUGUGGUCACUGCCUGUUGUCCUUCACGUCCUCCCCCAAGCCUGGGGGCUCCAGGGACAGGAGAGAGCCUGGGAGGGACAGACUCACAGGUGGCAUUUCCUGCCCUAUGUGCCAGGCUCAGCAGUUCCAGGGAGGGGACCUGGGUCCCAGCAGCCCCAGAGGGCUGGCCGGCCGUGGGUCCCAUCCAGGGCCUGUGACACCAGAUCCCAGCUCAUCUGCCACUGCGUCCCCAGGAUGCAGUUCUAGGGACCUGAAGGCCUCUGGGUGCCUGCUCCUGGCCCAGCCACAUCCCAGCUGGGCCAGAGACGGUCAGCGAGCCUGCGCUGUCUCUGUGUAAGUUUGAUAUUUUUAUAGGAUGGUCCUUUUGGCUGUGGAUGUUAUUUUUCUUAAUCUCACAUGAAGACAUUGUAGUUUUGGGCUCCUUAAAAUACCAUGACCUGGCAUGGCCCCAUGGGUGUGGCCCACUUUGGGGUGCCCCAGCCAGCCACAUCUGAGCCCCAGCCUGUCCAGGGCUCGCGUCUCGUUAACUUUAUGGGCCUUGCGCAGGGAGCCCCGGAUGCCAGCCCUCCGUCCUUCCCAGACGCCAUUGUUGGCACGGCUUGCUGAGCAGAAACACUGGCUGCUUUAUGGGAGAAACCUAAUCAGGGCGGGCAGGGGGGCCGGUGGGGGGGAUUCUGGCUCCCAGUGGCCCUGAGCCAAGCCUGAGGUGACUUCAGGGUGACACUGUCUGCCUGCCUCGCUCGCUCCAGACAUCCACCCAGCCCUGAAAGGGCCACCUGCCCACUGAGGCCUCCAAGCACCUGUCCUGGCUGGCCUGUUCCUCCCCAGCCUGGCUACCCAGCACCCGCCCAAAGGCAAACACGCGUGAGGUUAGGCAGGGCCUGGGAGGUGGCAGAUGGUGGGGUGUCUGCUGACUGCUCGCUCCCGGCAGCUUCUACUCAGCCUGCACCAUUCACUCAGGACUGCCCACCCUGCUGCCUGGCCCCGCUUGGGACCCUUCCCUGCCAUCCCCAGGCUCAGGCUGGAGGUCACAUCCUGGGCCGGGCUGCAGGGCAGGGGGAACUGGCACAUCUCAGUCCCCACCCCAGACCUGAAGGUGGGAUCUUUUCCCCACUGGUUCAGAAACGGCUGCCCCACUCCCCGUGACUGGUCGUUGUGUAAGAAGUCAUCUGGAUCCCGUUUAGGGUCCCCAGGUGAGGAGAGUGGCGUGGGUUCUGCCCAGAGGCCGCAGGGUUGGGACCUUGGCACCAUCCCGACAUGGAGGGUGGGCUGGGCCUGGAGCUCUGGGGUGGAGCAGGGACCCCAGGAGCAGGGGGCCUCUGAGGAGGAAAGUGGGCCAGCAGCAUCUGGCAUUGGGACAUCCUGGACAAAAGCCGGGAGAUGGGAGGGGAGGCCUGGCGGGCAUCUGAGGAGGCCCGGAGGCCGGCCCAGGGCACUCGGCCACUCCAGGCUGGCAGGAUGUGGGAAGGAGGGGGCACACGGGGGCGUCUGCCGUGACGGACGGACAGCCAGGUGUCGGGGCCUGUGCUCAAGGAAGGGGGCGCCACCUCAGGUCCUCACUGGACCUUCACAGCCAAGUGGGUUGGUCCUGUCGGCCCUGGCUUUUGGGGUCCCCAAGACUUGGAGUCCCUGAGUGGCCUGGCACUGCUGAGUGCCCCAGCAGCCAGGUGCUGUGUGCCUUCCCCAGGCCUCUGUCUUUGGAGGCUGAGGCUUUUUGCUUCUGUUUCUGAAAACCCAGCAGGUCCGAAAGGUGGCCGAGUAGAGUUUCUGUCCGCAGCAGUCAUCCAGCCAGCGCCGCCUACCAGGCAGCCCUGCCCCGUGCCCCGCUCUGUCGGCUUGGCAGGCCGGUUCAGAUCCCAGAAGGGGAGGGGCCCAGGUCAAGGUGCCACCCCGCUGCCUUCCUCUGGGCACUUCCAAGGCCAGGUGGGGGCAGACGGUGCUUCUGGCCGAUUCCAGAUAGGCAGGACCCGGAGCUAGCGUCCUCCCGCGUGACCAGGCUACAACAGCUGGCUCCCAAGCAGAUGGCUGGGCAGUGCCAGGAAGGCCUCAUCACUCCCAUUGCCACAGGGUCCAGAGACCCCACAGCACUCUCCUCCCAGCGCCCCCCCCCGCCGCUCUGCUUGGACGGAUUUUGGAGACACCCAACCCUGUCUGUCGACCAAAGGUCCAGAACGUUGCGAUUUCCUUCUGGGGCCUUAUAGGGCAGUGGGGUGGCCGCCACCAUUACCGGACAGGGCCUGCAUAGGGCAGGGGGUAGGCAGCACCAAGUGCUCGCCCUGGUGCUCACCCCACUGACUGAGGGACCCGGGAGGGAGGGAGUAUGGUGCCGGGUGCCCGAGGCGGUGCCCUGCACCCGGGGACAGCAAGCCAGACAGCACGCAGCCCCUCUUCUGAAGGUUAACACGUUAGCCCAGCUCUGCAGAGCCCCGGGGAAGUGAGGACCCGGGAGGACUCUAUGCCCUGCCACCCAGCAGUGACUUCUCCACACCGCCCUGGCACCCCGAACCCUGGUCCCUGAGGAACAGGCACCAGGCUCUGAUGCCCAGCAGGGUCUGCAGGCCCACCUCCCUGGGCAACCAGGUGUGCUCCAAAAAGAGGGAGCAGCAACCCGUGGCCUGUCCUGCCACAAGGUCUGCUCGGGCUACUGUGGGUGGCAGAGGCAGGACCAGAGCCCUGUGGGGGAAAAGGCCACUGCCCACCCAGAGUCCCAGUGCCACACCCUGUGACAGCACUGAGCGGAAAGUGACAGCCUCCUUCCUGGUGUCUCCCAGGCAGGCGGAGCCCCUCGGGGACAAUGUGGCCACCCCUGCCUGGGUAGCAGUGGUCCAGCAGCCUGUGACAGGCUCCCCUCUCCUGCGUGGGUUGGCCAUGUCCUGUGGCCUUCUGUCCCUGGAGACGCCAGUGGCCUCUUGGGGAGUUCUCAGCCCCGGGAUCCACAUCUGCCUCCCCUUCACCCCACUUCCUGCUCCAGGAGGCACCCGGAAGCCACGAGUCCCUGCCGGCGUGAGACUGACCGCCCUUUGGGGUGAGGUAGUAGGUUGUAUAGUUUGGGGCUCUGCCCUGCUGUGGAUAACUAUACAAUCUACUGUCUUUCCUGAAGUGGCCGUGAUAUCUACGGUGGACACAGCACCGGGCCCUGACUUGGGGGGCGUGGGGGGGUUGUGGGGGUCAUGGCUGCAGAGCAGUGAGAGGUGCAACAGAAUCAGGGGGCUCUGUGUGUUGGCCUUGCCUGCCCCAAGGAUGCCCGUUCUGAUGCCUGGCACCUGCCCAGCCCACCCCACUAAGUGUCAGGCCUCUGGUGAGGUCAGUGACUGCCCAGGCAGGGAAGGUAUCCCAGGGGCCUUUGCCUAACAGGAGGUGAGAGGGAUACUCACCGAGACACCAGCAUCGUCUCCGUCUCCUGCCCUGCGCCCCACUGGCCCUGCAGCGCUGGUGGCCGAGGCCCACAGGGCAGGGUCAGAAAGCAGGGCGCAGGGCAGACCCUCCUGGCAGUGAGAGGGCACCAGCGGGGUGAGGUAGUAGGUUGUGUGGUUUCCGGGCAGUGAUGUCGCCCCUCGGAAGAUAACUAUACAACCUACUGCCUUCCCUGAGGAGUCCUGUGACAUCUCCAGGAGGCCACCACAGCGGCCAGGUGCUGCGAGCGACGCUGUUCUGACAAGGGAGUGACAGAGCUGGGGCUGCAGCGAGGCCCCCGAGCCCAGGCCUGGUCACCCUAAUGUCCCCCACGGCCAGGGUGGGUAACAGGAACGAGGCGCCUCCCUCCUCCUGUCUGCUUAGUCAGUGGUCAUUUCUGCCCCGCCACCGGUGCCAGGCCUCAGCCUCGGGGCAGCGGCGUCUUCCUCCCUCAAGUCCCCUGUCCUGCCCCCAUCCUAUGGAGGGGAGGCCCCAAGGAGGUUAACCAGCCCUGUACCCGGUGGCUUUCUGAAGGAGGUGACGCCAACCCCCGUGUCUCUCUGACCUCUAGGGCCUCUCCACCGGUGUGUGUCAGGACACCCCAAAGGCAAGCAUGAGGGCAGGAGUUGUCCCUCAGCCAGCAGCUGUCUGUGGGUGUUCCAGGGCCUGUGGCCCAGGGCAGGUCACCGUCUUCCAGUGUGAGCACAGAGGGUGGUGUCUGAUUUAAGGGAUGUCAGGCGCCACCUGCUGCCCUAUCCAGGGAGUGGCCCGGCCCAGACCGGAAGCUGAGGUUGUGCGGUGGCCCCAAGGGACCCACCAAGGACAGGCUCCCUUGUGUGCAGGCCAGGGUCCCUGAGGUCCACGAAGGCCACCUGUGACCUUGGCCCCAGGACGGAUGGCCCAGCAGACCCCACCCGUAGAGCUGAGCCCGGGCCUGCGUGGUGACGGGGACACCGAGGGACAGGGCUGCCGUCCAGGACCAGCACUGAGGAGAAGCACAGAUAAGGGUAUCAGAGCCACACAGCCGGGCCCACAUGUUCAUCAGCGGGCAGAGCUGGGGUCCAGGGACAGUUAGGGACCCACAUGUCACUGCCUUCAACAUCCAACAGGAGCCAGUGUGGUUGGCUCGCAUCUGAAGUCCCAGCACUGGGGAGGCUGAAGCAGGAGGACUGUCAUGAGUUCGAAGCCAGUGUGGGCUACGUA